rnacentral:rRNA from 1 species
UACGUAGGGUGCAAGCAUUAAUCGGAAUUAUUGGGCGUAAAGGACGCGUAGGCGGCCAUUUAAGUCUGACGUGAAAUUACGGGGCUCAACCCCGUAGCUGCGUUGGAAACUGAAAGGCUAAGAGGACGGAAGGGGAAAGCGGAAUUCCAUGUGUAGCGGUGAAAUGCGUAGAUAUAUGGAAGAACACCAGUGGCGAAAGCGGCUUUCUAGUACGAACCUGACGCUGAGGCGUGAGAGCAAGGGGAGCAAACAGG